rnacentral:rRNA from 1 species
AACGAACGCUGGCGGCAGGCUUAACACAUGCAAGUCGAGCGCCCCGCAAGGGGAGCGGCAGACGGGUGAGUAACGCGUGGGAACGUACCUUUUGGUUCGGAACAACUCCGGGAAACUGGAGCUAAUACCGGAUAAGCCCUAACGGGGAAAGAUUUAUCGCCGAAAGAUCGGCCCGCGUCUGAGUGGCUAGUUGGUGAGGUAACGGCUCACCAAGGCGACGAUCAGUAGCUGGUCUGAGAGGAUGAUCAGCCACACUGGGACUGAGACACGGCCCAGACUCCUACGGGAGGCAGCAGUGGGGAAUAUUGGACAAUGGGCGCAAGCCUGAUCCAGCCAUGCCGCGUGAGUGAUGAAGGCCUUAGGGUUGUAAAGCUCUUUUGUCCGGGAAGAUAAUGACUGUACCGGAAGAAUAAGCCCCGGCUAACUUCGUG